AUUGAACGCUGGCGGCAGGCCUAACACAUGCAAGUCGAGCGAGCGGCGGACGGGUGAGUAAUGUAUGGGGACUGCCCGAUAGCGGGGGAUAACACCUGGAAACGGUAGCUAAUACCGCAUACUAUCGGAUAACCCAUAUGGGAUUAGCUAGUAGGUGAGGUAAUGGCUCACCUAGGCGACGAUCCCUAGCUGGUCUGAGAGGAUGAUCAGCCAAACUGGGACUGAGACACGGCCCAGACGCAGACGGAGGCAGCAGUGGGGAAUAUUGCACAAUGGGCGCAAGCCUGAUGCAGCCAUGCCGCGUGUAUGAAGAAGGCCUUCGGGUUGUAAAGUACUUUCAGUCGGGAGGCGUUACCGACAGAAGAAGCACCGGCUAACUCCGUGCCAGCCGCCGCGGUAAUAC
rnacentral:rRNA from 1 species